rnacentral:rRNA from 1 species
AUUGAACGCUGGCGGCAUGCCUAACACAUGCAAGUCGAACGCGCGGCGAACGGGUGAGUACUGUCUAGUAAUGUGCCCGGUGGUGGCGGAUAACUCCGCGAAAGGGUAGCUAAUACCGCAUACUAUCGGGGCGGCCUCGGUCGGAUUAGCUAGUUGGUGGGGUAAAGGCUUACCAAGGCGACGAUCCAUAGCUGGUCUGAGAGGAUGACCAGCCACACUGGGACUGAGACACGGCCCAGACUCCUACGGGAGGCAGCAGUGGGGAAUAUGGGACAAUGGGCGAAAGCCUGAUCCAGCCAUGCCGCGUGUGGGAAGAAGGCUUUCGGGUUGUAAAGUACUGUUGGCAGGGAAGCGGUACCUGCAGAAAAAGCAACGGCUAACUACGUGCCAGCAGCCGCGGUAAUAC